GUGGAAUUAGCUCACUUCGUAGAGUGCUCGCUUUGCAUGCGAGAGGUACCCGGAUCGGUACCCGGAUUCUCCA
rnacentral:tRNA from 1 species